UACGGGGGGGGCAAGCGUUGUUCGGAAUUACUGGGCGUAAAGGGCUCGUAGGUGGCCAACUAAGUCAGACGUGAAAUCCCUCGGCUUAACCGGGGAACUGCGUCUGAUACUGGAUGGCUUGAGUUCGGGAGAGGGAUGCGGAAUUCCAGGUGUAGCGGUGAAAUGCGUAGAUAUCAAGAGGAACACCAGUGGCGAAGGCGAGUCCCUGGACAAUACCUGACACUGAGGCACGAAAGCCGGGGGAGCAAACAGG
rnacentral:rRNA from 1 species